AUACGUAGGGUGCGAGCGUUAUCCGGAAUUAUUGGGCGUAAAGAGCUCGUAGGCGGUUUGUCGCGUCUGCUGUGAAAGCCCAGGGCUUAACCCUGGGUUUGCAGUGGGUACGGGCAGGCUGGAGUGCAGUAGGGGAGACUGGAAUUCCUGGUGUAGCGGUGAAAUGCGCAGAUAUCAGGAGGAACACCGAUGGCGAAGGCAGGUCUCUGGGCCGUUACUGACGCUGAGGAGCGAAAGCAUGGGGAGCGAACAGGAUUAGAUACCCUGGUAGUCCAUGCCGUAAACGUUGGGCACUAGGUGUGGGGACCAUUUCCACGGUUUCCGCGCCGUAGCUAACGCAUUAAGUGCCCCGCCUGGGGAGUACGGCCGCAAGGCUAAA
rnacentral:rRNA from 1 species